UACGUAGGGUGCAAGCGUUGUCCGGAAUUAUUGGGCGUAAAGAGCUUGUAGGCGGUUUGUCGCGUCUGCUGUGAAAUUUCGGGGCUCAACCCCGAACUUGCAGUGGGUACGGGCAGACUAGAGUGUGGUAGGGGAGACUGGAAUUCCUGGUGAGCGGUGAAAUGCGCAGAUAUCAGGAGGAACACCGAUGGCGAAGGCAGGUCUCUGGGCCACUACUGACGUGAGAAGCGAAAGCAUGGGGAGCGAACAGG
rnacentral:rRNA from 1 species